AUUCCAUGAUAAGGGCACUUCUGUAAUAAUUCUUUAUACCUUUCUCAUGCCUCAUACAAUGACUCAUCCUCCAUUUGUUGGAAAGCGGUGAUCUCGUUCCUCAACUU
rfam:Gossypium hirsutum cultivar TM-1 chromosome 3, whole genome shotgun sequence